GGAGAUAUAGCUCAGUUGGUAGAGAGCUUGCCUCAAAUGCACAAGGCCCUGGGUUCAAUUCCUAGCACCA
rnacentral:tRNA from 1 species